rnacentral:tRNA from 1 species
GGUUUGUGGCUUAGUGGUAGAGUGCUCGCCUAGCAUGUGCAAGGCCCUGGGUUCGAUGCUCAGCACCA